rnacentral:rRNA from 1 species
UACGAAGGGGGCUAGCGUUGUUCGGAAUUACUGGGCGUAAAGCGCACGUAGGCGGAUAUUUAAGUCAGGGGUGAAAUCCCAGAGCUCAACUCUGGAACUGCCUUUGAUACUGGGGUAUCUUGAGUAUGGAAGAGGUAAGUGGAAUUGCGAGUGUAGAGGUGAAAUUCGUAGAUAUUCGCAGGAACACCAGUGGCGAAGGCGGCAUCCUGGACCGGCAUUGACGCUGAGGCGGCGAAAGCUGAGGGGAGCAAACGGG